rnacentral:rRNA from 1 species
CCUACGGGUGGCAGCAGUGGGGAAUAUUGCACAAUGGGCGAAAGCCUGAUGCAGCAACGCCGCGUGAGCGAUGAAGGCCUUCGGGUCGUAAAGCUCUGUCCUCAAGGAAGAUAAUGAUGGUACUUGUGGAGGAAGCCCCGGCUAACUACGUGCCAGGAGCCGCGGUAAUACGUGGGGGGCUAGGGUGCUCGGGAAUUACGGGGGGGAAAGGGUGCGUAGGUGGUUUCUUAAGUCAGAGGUGAAAGGCUACGGCUCAACCGUAGUAAGCCUUUGAAACUGGGGAACUUGAGUGCAGGAGGGGGGAGUGGAAUUCCUAGUGUAGCGGUGAAAUGCGUAGAGAUUAGGAGGAACACCGGUUGCGAAGGCGGCUCUCUGGACUGUAACUGACACUGAGGCGCGAAAGCGUGGGGAGCAAACAGGAUUAGAUACCCUGGUAGUC